ensembl:snoRNA SNORA74 Small nucleolar RNA SNORA74
UCCAGCUCUCAGUCAGCUGUCCAGACGGUGUGUGUCUGGCUCAGUGUUACAGUGCUGGUAGAGGAACGCUCUGUACGUGUUCGGUUCUGCAGGUUCUGUUUUAGAAUCAGCAGCUGCUGAGCUGCCACAGAGCUGAGCCCACAGAGAGUGGCCUGUCCUGUUCCACUGUCAGGAUGGGCCUAGUGCAGGGCUGCACACU